CACACUGGUUGCCGUUCCCCGAAACGCUAAUAUAUUGGUGGUGUGUGUGCUUUAUUUUUUGUUAUUGUGUUUCCAAUUCUCCAUUUGGUAAUUAAUGAAACAUGUUUUUAUGCAGCAGCAGCGGAAACAACAACAACCAAAGCAGCAGCUGCAACAAUCAACAAAAACAACAACCGCCAUUUGCUGUUUGUGGAAUAAAGCAAUAAUAACAUAGAAAACCAGAGUCAAAGUGCAAAAUUAAUAAAAUAAAAAAAAACAGCGGCAUCGGUAGAACAGCAACAGCAGCAGCAGAAAAACCAACAGAGGCAACAACAACAACAGCAGCAGCAGCAUUCAGUCGAAAAGCAAAUCCUUUAAGGGCCCUCUCUCUCUCUGUGGACCACCAACAGCUGUCUGAUUUUCAAAUGAUUAUUAUGCGGAGAGGAUAAAAAAAAAACAACAGACAGCAGCCACCGGCACUGUGGAACGUAAAAGCGUCGAGAUUACAGUGGAACAGAGAGCAAGGAUUAUCAACAGCUGCUGCACAGUGGAACCAGAAAACUGAGGAUAACAAUGGGAUGACAAACCCUCAAAUGAAAUUAAAAUCCUACAAAAAAGUCAACACAAUUGUAACAACAAUUAAAUCCCCUGCCCCGAAAUUCGUGUCAUUAGUGUUAAUUGAUUAUUGUUUUUAGAUUUUGAACAAAUUUUGUCUAUUGUGUGUUGAAUACCAACAAUAAUUGUGAAAUGUUUGCAUUGGAUGAUACCUUGCAAAAUGUGCAACCGCAGCCGAUUCUCCGCGACGACAAAUCUUAAAGAAUAUUCCUUUAAGAUCAAAAACAACAAAAAUUGCAAUAAUCUAACAAAAACUACCAUAACCUAAGACCAAAUACAAAAG